UUUUUAAAUAAAGACUAGUAUGAACGGCAAAACGAGGACUUAACUGUCUCCUUUAUCCUAUCAGUGAAAUUGAUCUUUCCGUACAAAAGCGGAAAUAACACCACAAGACGAGAAGACCCCAUGGAGCUUCAAACACGCAGUCAACUACAUUACACAAUCUACCACAAAACAUGAAGACCUGACUCCCUGUUUUCGGUUGGGGCGACCACGGAGCAAUAUCAACCCUCCGAGAUGAUAACCACCUAAACUAAGGAAAACCCCCCAAAGUAUCAGAAAUUCUGANACAAUUGACCCAAACCCUUGAUCAANGAACCAAGUUACCCUGGGNAUAACAGNGCCAUCCUUUCAAAGAGUCCCCAUCAACGAAAGGGAUUACGACCUCGAUGUUGGAUCAGGAUACCCAAAGUGUGCAANCGCACCUAAAGGUUCGUUUGUU
rnacentral:rRNA from 1 species